rnacentral:pre_miRNA from 1 species
CAAGUACUCCCUCCGUCCGGAAUUACUUGUCAUCAAAAUGGAUGAAAAUGGAUGUAUCUAGAACUAAAAUACAUCUAGAUACAUCCAUUUCAGUGACAAGUAUUUCCGGACGGAGGGAGUACAUG